UAUUGGUUGAACGAGAGCAUUCUCUUU
rnacentral:piRNA from 1 species